rnacentral:rRNA from 1 species
GACGAACGCUGGCGGCGUGCUUCACACAUGCAAGUCGAACGAAGUGUCGAACGUGUGAGUAACGCGUAAUCAACCUGUUCUUCAGAGGGGGACAACAGUUGGAAACGACUGCUAAUAUCGCAUACUGCAGGGGGGGCUUGCGUCUGAUUAGCUAGUUGGAGGGGUAACGGCCCACCAGGGCGAUGAUCAGUAUCCGGUCUGAGAGGAUGAACGGCAACAAUGGGACUGAGACACGGCACAGACUCCUACGAGAGGCAGCAGUGGUGAAUCUGGCGCAACGGACGAAAGUCUGACUGAGCAACGCCGCGUGAGUGAUGACGGCCUUCGGGUUGUAAGGCUCUGUUAAUCGGGACGCGGUACCGGAAUAGAAAGCCACGGCUAACUACGUGCCAGCCGCCGCGGUAAUAC